ACAGUACGGCUUGAGGGAGGCCCGGAGAUGGGUACUGAACCGGACCCAGCCCUAUGGGCGCAGCAGGCGAGAAACCUUUGCAAUGUGCGAAAGCACGACAAGGUUAAUCCGAGUGUCUCCUGCUAAAGGAGUCUUUUGUCAGUUGUAGAAUCACUGGUGAAUAAGGGGUGGGCAAGUUCUGGUGUCAGCCGCCGCGGUAAAACCAGCACCUCGAGUGGUCAGGAGGUUUAUUGGGCCUAAAGCAUCCGUAGCCGGUUGCAUAAGUUUUCGGUUAAAUCUAUGCGCUUAACGUAUAGGCCGCCGAAAAUACUGUGCAGCUAGGGAGUGGGAGAGGUACACGGUACUCGAUAGGAAGGGGUAAAAUCCUUUGAUCUAUUGAAGACCACCUGUGGCGAAGGCGGUGUACCAGAACACGUUCGACGGUGAGGGAUGAAAGCUGGGGGAGCAAACCGGAUUAGAUACCCGGGUAGUCCCAGCUGUAAACGAUGCAGACUCGGUGAUGCAUUGGCUUGUGGCCAAUGCAGUGCCGCAGGGAAGCCGUUAAGUCUGCCGCCUGGGAAGUACGUACGCAAGUAUGAAACUAAAGGAAUUGGCGGGGGAGCACCACAAGGGGUGAGCCUGCGUUCAUUGGAGUCACGC
rnacentral:rRNA from 1 species